GAUGAACGCUAGCUACAGGCCUAACACAUGCAAGUCGAGGGGAAACGACAUCGAAAGCUUGCUUUUGAUGGGCGUCGAGCGGCGCACGGGUGAGUAACGUGUAUCCAACCUGCCCACCACUUGGGGAUAACCUUGCGAAAGUAAGACUAAUACCCAAUGAGAUCCCACGAAGGCAUCCGAAUGGGAUUAAUGAUUUAUCGGUGAUGGAUGGGGAUGCGUCUGAUUAGCUUGUUGGUGAGGUGACGGCCCACCAAGGCAACGAUCAGUAGGGGUUCUGAGAGUAAGGUCCCCCAGAAUGGAACUGCGGCCCAGUCUACAAUGCUACGGAACGGAGGAGUGUGGUAUAUUAUGGGAGGAGGCAGAGCCUGGCCAAGCCGAGUGGCGGGCAGGAGUACUGCCAUAUGAGUUGUAUACUGCUUGUAAAAGAGAAUAGUGUGUGUAACGUGUGACGUUUUGAAGGUACCUAAUGAAUAAGCGCCGGCUAAUUCCGUG
rnacentral:rRNA from 1 species